rnacentral:lncRNA from 1 species
UGUCUAAAUGAAAAAAUUACUGUUAAGAUUUUUUUUUUAUUUGAAACAUCUGAUACCAAAACAAGUCUAGAAAAUAAGUCACAAGUGUAUGGAAUAAGUCACGGUAGGUUUGGACCAUGAAAGUCAAACCAUUAGACCAUACCAUUAAACCAAAAUGCCUUGGUGGUUAAAAAAAUAGAUCAUUGGGGAAAAUUAUCAAAUAUUGUUUUCUAGGAUAGCUGUAAUCCAAUACCAUCCUCCUAGGCAAAACCAGCAGGUGUGCUCAGUAGCAGAGAGAAAACCUGGGAAUUUGUCGGAUCAUGCAUUCAGGAGGCUGGAAUCGUAUCGAUCAGGUCCUGAAGAACUAACAGAUGACAACUAAUCAGACUACAACAGGGGGUUUUAUUGCACCCAGGCUGGAAUUAUCUCUA